rnacentral:rRNA from 1 species
AGAGUUUGAUCCUGGNUCNNAUUGAACGCUGGCGGCAUGCCUUACACAUGCAAGUCGAACGGUAGAGGGGCAACCCUUGAGAGUGGCGAACGGGUGAGUAAUAUAUCGGAACGUGCCCAGUCGUGGGGGAUAACGCAGCGAAAGCUGCGCUAAUACCGCAUACGAUCUAAGGAUGAAAGCGGGGGAUCGCAAGACCUCGCGCGAUUGGAGCGGCCGAUAUCAGAUUAGGUAGUUGGUGGGGUAAAAGCCCACCAAGCCGACGAUCUGUAGCUGGUCUGAGAGGACGACCAGCCACACUGGGACUGAGACACGGCCCAGACUCCUACGGGAGGCAGCAGUGGGGAAUUUUGGACAAUGGGCGCAAGCCUGAUCCAGCAAUGCCGCGUGCAGGACGAAGGCCUUCGGGUUGUAAACUGCUUUUGUACGGAGCGAAACGGUCUGGGUUAAUACCCUGGGCUAAUGACGGUACCGUAAGAAUAAGCACCGGCUAACUACGUGCCAGCCGCCGCGGUAAUAC